AGGACGAACGCUGGCGGCGUGCCUAACACAUGCAAGUCGAGCGAGGAGAUCCUCGGGAUGAUCCUAGCGGCGGACGGGUGAGUAACACGUGGGCAACCUGCCUCAUAGAGAGGAAUAGCCUUCCGAAAGGGAGAUUAAUACCUCAUAACAUUGCAGUUUCGCAUGGAACAGCAAUUAAAGGAGUAAUCCGCUAUGAGAUGGGCCCGCGGCGCAUUAGCUAGUUGGUGAGGUAACGGCUCACCAGGGCGACGAUGCGUAGCCGACCUGAGAGGGUGAUCGGCCACAUUGGGACUGAGACACGGCCCAGACUCCUACAGGAGGCAGCAGUGGGGAAUAUUGCACAAUGGGGGAAACCCUGAUGCAAGCAACGCCGCGUGAGUGAUGACGGCCUUCGGGUUGUAAAGCUCUGUCUUCAGGGACGAUAAUGACGGUACCUGAGGAGGAAGCCACGGCUAACUACGUGCCAGCCGCAGC
rnacentral:rRNA from 1 species